UUCACUUUAUAAGCAGGUAUCACCGCCCCUUCUCCUUCUUCAAAACCUAACCGUAACCCAGAGAGUCUAAAGAGAGAGGGGAGACAGAGACGGAGAAGUCUCCGGUUUUGACACGGUGGACGCGCCGCACAUGGUUCUCCGGCGUCUACAUGACAGACGGGUCCGCCGUACAUGGUGGUGGGGAGCGGUGGUACCAGGUUUUCUGGUCACCGCAACGGCGGUCAGCAGCCGUAAGUAGUUGCUAGGUUGUCGGUUGUUGUUUAUGUUGACAUCAGCAGAACUUCGGUGACGGCAGAUAGCGUGACAAGGAUGGCUUCAAGAAGCUCUGGCAAAACACCUAGGGUUCCGGUCCUAUUCCGGCGAAGUUCCGUCCAGAAGGAUUAAAGCUUGCAUCUUCCAUUUGUGAGUAUUAAGGUAACAGCAAAAUCUUCGCAACUAGGGCAUGAAUUUGAUAACCUUCGUAUCUGCGCCCCUCUGGACUUCGAGCCUUUUAAAAAGCCACCUUUUUCCCUACGUUGCUUCUUCCGCUUUUGAAAGCAUAAUGAUCGCCAUCUGCCCUUUUUGGGAGUUGCUGAAGGUAACAUGGCUCAACUCAACAAACUCAGGUCGCCAAUUGGCUUCUUUCCGAUUUAACCACCAUCCUCAUCGGAUGAAUCGAUCAAGGCUUGCAUGUCUCAGAUCUGUGUAGAUCGGUAGCCACCCUCGACAACUUAGGUAAUAUAACCAUUUGAUUAUGUUGAAGGUUUCUUUUGAUUCAACAGUACUAGGUGAGUAAACUGGAAAUCAAAUCAAUUGACUAAGCUCUUAUAUUUUUCAUUUCCAUUGCAAUUAUAGGAUAAAUAAAAACCUUGUGGCAAUGAUAAUUCUGGAACUGCGUGAUCUAAUACUCAAAACCUCUUUAUGAAUAUUGAUGUUUUAGAACUACGCAUCAAAGAAAUUAAAGGACUUCCAGCAAGUAAUGAUCAUAACUAAAUGCACCAAUCUGUAUAGUUUAGUUUUACUUUAUACUAGGGGGAAUACCCGUGCGAUGCACGACAUGCAUAAUAGUUAUUGUUUUUUUCUGAAACGACAGUGGGAAGGGUUGUAACUAACAUAACAGUUAUUGCCUUUAUUUUGCCUUUUGAGACCACGCUAUAAUUGUAACUAACAUGUUAACAACUUAUUUAUAUCAAACAAAGUAAAAUCACGUAAUAAUUGUUGAGAUAUAAUAACCCAAAAGGCACCCAUUGUCUCAAGUGUUGUGACAUUGCACCAUAGCUUCCACAUGGAUUUUCAUUUAGCAAGCAAUGCAUUUAUCCAUUCAAAGGAUUUUGGGCACUCCAUAACGAAAACCAGAUAUCAACUGGCCCACUGUACUUGCGAAUUAUGUUAGUACUUACCUGAGAAAACACAAAAUUGAUUGACAGUUGAAAAGUCAAACAUAAGAAAACACAUGUUGCGGCCUCCCACAAAAUGAUCUCAAAAGAAAUGUAGGUAUCACGUUACUUAGCCAAAAGGGAAAAAAGGAAGCAAAAUAUACAUUAAAGCUGGAUGAAAUCAUGAAGAUAUUCUAAACUUUUUAAAAUUAAAGGCAUCUGAAGUUAACGCCAUUUUUGAAGAACAAAGACAUAUAAAAAAUGAAAAACAAAGAUAUACCAGCUCCUAGGCUUCAAGUUCUUGUUAAGUAUCAAGCAUAAACCUUCUGAUAAAAGAAAAGAAGAGCAGUUCUAUCCACAUUUUUAGUCUCGGUUUUCAUAACGCACACACGUCACAUAUACGUAAGUCAAAGACCUAUAUAAAGAGGCAUGCUAAAACUUUAUCAAACCAUGGAUCGUAAUUUGUUCUGUCGGCAUAACUCUUGUGCCAAAAAAAAGGGGAAAAGAUGUCUUCCAAAAUAAAAAACAUGAAACGUAAAUGGAAAAAACGCAGUAGCUCUCGCACGCCUCCUUGUCUUAUUGGCUAACACAUGGACCGAACUUUAGUUAACGCAUGGCACGAUCAUCCCAAAUCCCAUCACCGGUCGACUGCCUGCAGUGAAUUAACAAAAGUAAGACCGUUAAAAAGUCGUAGGUUUUGCAUUUUUUAUCUAAUGUAUGCAGCCUAGCUAGGAAUAAAGUCAAUUGAAACUGUUAAAUGGACUUUGGUAGUUUCUUUGGAAUAAAGGGGAUUUAAAUGUUAAAUGGCAUCUGAAAUUUAAUUAGUUACUGCUAACACUAUAAAAGUGAUAUCUAAAUGUGUAUGUUUGUGUCCAAACGGUGUACCUUUCACGUGGAUCAUCGUCAACGUUUUCUUCUGAAUCCGAACCCGAAUUUGUAUAAGUAGUCCUGCGAAGGAAAGAACGGGAACUUUUCUUGACAAUUAAAAAAAGUUAUAAGGUUGCUUAAAAAAGCUAGGUUUGUUGGUUCAUGGCCCCGAUUAGCCCAACAUAUUUGUCUUUCAUGGGGCCCUUCCUUUGAGGUCGUUUUAGACAUUCAUAACUAACUUAUGUACAUUUUAAUGUAAAAAAAAA